rnacentral:rRNA from 1 species
UGGAAAGUUCACACAGUGACGGUAGCUUACCAGAAAGGGACGGCUAANUACGUGCCAGCAGCCGCGGUAAUACGUAGGUCCCGAGCGUUGUCCGGAUUUAUUGGGCGUAAAGGGAGCGCAGGCGGUCAGGAAAGUCUGGAGUAAAAGGCUAUGGCUCANCCAUAGUGUGCUCUGGAAACUGUNUGACUUGAGUGCAGAAGGGGAGAGUGGAAUUCCAUGUGUAGCGGUGAAAUGCGUAGAUAUAUGGAGGAACACCAGUGGCGAAAGCGGCUCUCUGGUCUGUCACUGACGCUGAGGCUCGAAAGCGUGGGUAGCGAACAGGAUUAGAUACCCUGGUAGUCCACGCCGUAAACGAUGAGUGCUAGGUGUUAGGCCCUUUCCGGGGCUUAGUGCCGGAGCUAACGCAAUAAGCACUCCGCCUGGGGAGUACGACCGCAAGGUUGAAACUCAAAGGAAUUGACGGGGGCCCGCACAAGCGGUGGAGCAUGUGGUUUAAUUCGAAGCAACGCGAAGAACCUUACCAGGUCUUGACAUCCCGAUGCUAUUCUUAGAGAUAGGAAGUUACUUCGGUACAUCGGAGACAGGUGGUGCAUGGUUGUCGUCAGCUCGUGUCGUGAGAUGUUGGGUUAAGUCCCGCAACGAGCGCAACCCUUAUUGUUAGUUGCCAUCAUUAAGUUGGGCACUCUAGCGAGACUGCCGGUAAUAAACCGGAGGAAGGUGGGGAUGACGUCAAAUCAUCAUGCCCCUUAUGACCUGGGCUACACACGUGCUACAAUGGUCGGUACAACGAGUUGCGAGCCGGUGACGGCAAGCUAAUCUCUGAAAGCCGAUCUCAGUUCGGAUUGGAGGCUGCAACUCGCCUCCAUGAAGUCGGAAUCGCUAGUAAUCGCGGAUCAGCACGCCGCGGUGAAUACGUUCCCGGGCCUUGUACACACCGCCCGUCACACCACGAGAGUUUGUAACACCCGAAGUCGGUGAGGUANCCUUUUAGGGGCCA